CCACCGCCCGAGCGACGGCAGCUCUUACCAAUAAGCGCUCGGUACAUUGGGGACCGACAGCAUUUUUAACCAAUCACUGGGAAGCAUCUAGAGUGACGUUGGUCUGGCCAAUAGAGCUACGAAGUGUCACUGAUAGACGGUAGUAGUCACCAACCGGAAAUUAACUGAGGAAUGAACGACGUAUCCUUUAGCCAACUGGCGGGAGGCAAAGUCCCGCCUGUUAGGAGGUUGAUGGACAGCAACAGGAAGCUGGAUGAGGAGGGGCUUAGCUGAGAAGUGUUUCUGUAUUGGUCGGAAUUGACCUUCCACCCACCUCUAACCCAGAAGAUGAGUGAUAGAUCUGCCCUAAAGCCAAUCAGAAGUGCUACUGUGAAAUGCCCCAUAAAGAGCUUAUACAUCUCUUAAUACAGUCUGGCAUGGAGAGGCUCUAGUGUAGCCAUCGGGUACCCGGUGCCCAGCGCCCGGUGAGAGCAUCGCCUUCACCUCAACCCCUCGCCCACCGUCACCUGUGGAGAGUCGAUGACCUGGCGGGAGUUGGGUUACCUGGGACUUCCUAAAGGGGACUGUCAUGUCAACUCAAGCCCCUGUUAAUCUUCACUAAUGUUUCACAGAGCUUCCCUGAUCCACUCGGCUUCAGAAGGGCAUGUCUGAGCCUAUAUCAAAAGCAGAUUCCUAGGGUCGUCCCUAAUCACAUUUGCCACUUCUCGGGGGUGCCUAGAAACUGUAUUUUAACCUGCGUCUCAGGUGGGCGGAAUUGCACGCUGGAGUCCUGCUCGGUCUCUGCCUCAUUUCCUCCCGAAUGAGGUGCUGUGCUUGACAAGCACCCCAGGUAGGUUUAUCUUUCUCUUCCAGGCCCUCUGCGAACGACUAACUUGGGCAGGCUUCGCGUGGCAUCGAGAGGGAAUUCACACUGCCUUCAGACCUGCGAGGGCAGGAAACCCCACACCCCACCUGCAGUGAACCCUUAGACGCCUGUUGAAGCCAGAGCACUUACACCUCCGCCUCAGUAGUACCCUUCCUGGUUUUUGUUUUGUUUUGUUUUGUUUUGUUAUUUUAACCCACAGUGAGAAAAAAUGUUUUACAUCCGGUAAACUUUGUUCUAAGAGCAUAACAAAGCUUCCCAAGUCAGCAUUUGAGAGACAUUGAUCACAGUGCUAGGGAUCAAGCCCAGGGCCUCCCACGUCCGACGGAGGCAGUCUCUACCACUGAGCUCCAUUCUCCUCAUGACUGCCCUAAGGGACUGAGCAACAGUGGAAGAACCUGCGCUUCUACAGGCGAUGAUCGGGAAAUGGAGUCCGUUCAUGAAUCACUUUGCGAACACUUACAUCUGCAUAAGACUUGUUCAGCCCAGACAUUCUGUUCCCAGGCGCGUUUCCAGUUUGGCUGGCUUUGCCUUGUAGCCAAGGACUCCGCCCGGAUUCAGUGACUCAGAUCUCCAUUUCCAAGUUGUUCUCUCCCGAGAGAAGGAAGAGAAGACUAGGCAGCAGGUCCCAGUAUGCCUGAUUUCUCCCCAGCCAUGUGUUUUCUAUACUGGGGGACCGAACACAGAGCCUUGUGCAUGCAAAGCAAGUCCUCCUAACCACUGAGCCACAUCUCCAGACUCUGGACAAUAUGUCAGACUCCGAAGAAAGCUUUCACCUGUUCUGAAGUUGGGCUCCUGUCUCACCCCAGGAAGUCAGUCCCUAGGGUGGGACCAAGCACCUGUAUGGAGAAGACCCUCAGAAACUCCAUUUCUCCCUGACCUGAGGGCAGAGAAGAGAGUCCAAGGAAUGGAGGAAGUUGGGAGCCACCUCGUCUCCAGGGGGCGGGAUCCCAAAUAAAGCGAUAGCCAUCGUCCUGGCAGCUCCAACCUGUUCUAUCGGACAGGGUUUCAGGGCUGGAGAGACGGCUCAGCAGUUAGG
rnacentral:sRNA from 1 species